CAUGUAGCCAGCAUCCUCAGUCUCUACUUCGCUAGAAAUAGAAGAACAUGGCUAUUACUCCCUCCGUUCCCAAAUAUAAGUCUCUUUAGAGAUUUCAAUAAGUGACAACAUACGGAGCAAAAUGAGUGAAUCUACACUCUAAACUAUGUCUACAUGCAUCCGUAUGUUGUAAUCCAUUUGAAAUUUCUAAAAAGACUUAUAUUUAGGAACGGAGGGAGUAGAUCAGACAGAUGUAAUUCUACCACUACCAGACAUCACAUUAACUCCUCAACUUUACUCUGGAAGGUGCGCUAAUGCUCUGGUUUUAUUUUUCUAGUGUUUUGAACAAAGAUUCUAGACACAUUAUCUUCAGUUCAUACCAGAUCAAACAGAGGGAGUAGUAUUCUGCAGAAAUAUACGGUCCUCCUGUUCAACUUAAGACCAAAAAACAGGUCCUACUCAACUUGUGAAGGGCGGAAGAGCUAUAAAAUUCAAGCAUGUUGCAGACUUGCAGUCUUGGAAUGAAGUGAGUGGUUAAACAAGCACCAAACACUAGCCCCAACAGGACAAAAAAAAUCGAGAUUGAAGAGGACAAAUAUCCAUUUAGUUGUAGAUAAACUCUGGUGUAUAUUUGGCUGUGAUUGGCUUAAACCGUAGUAGAUAAAAUGUAUGUUGAUGCGCCUCACAGAUGUCAUGCAAACCAAACAGAAAUGGAAAUUUGUAAGUCAACAUGUAAACUUACUUCACCAGAGUA